GCCACAGUAAUAUAGUGGUUAUUAUACCAGUUUGUGGCACUGGAUACCGAGGUUCGAUUCCUCGCUGCGGCA
rnacentral:tRNA from 1 species